AGCGAACGCUGGCGGCAGGCCUAACACAUGCAAGUCGAACGAACCUUUCGGGGUUAGUGGCGGACGGGUGAGUAACACGUGGGAACGUGCCUUUAGGUUCGGAAUAACUCAGGGAAACUUGUGCUAAUACCGAAUGGGCCCUUCGGGGGAAAGAUUAAUCGCCUUUAGAGCGGCCCGCGUCUGAUUAGCUAGUUGGUUGAGGUAAUGGCGCACCAAGGCGACGAUGAGUAGCUGGUCUGAGAAGAUGAUCAGCCACAUUGGGACUGAGACACGGCCCAAACUCCUACGGGAGGCAGCAGUAGGGAAUCUUGCGCAAUGGGCGAAAGCCUGACGCAGCCAUGCCGCGUGAAUGAUGAAGGUCUUAGGAUUGUAAAAUUCUUUCACCGGGGACGAUAAUGACGGUACCCGGAGAAGAAGCCCCGGCUAACUUCGUG
rnacentral:rRNA from 1 species